UUGUGGAAAUGUAAUUGGUGAUCAAUGAUUGAAGAGGUUUAAGGAAUAUAUAGAGGAUGAUUAUGUAACUAACUCGGGCAAGCUAUGAGGCAGGGGAGUUAGAAGUUAUAGUCAAUUUAGAUUGUUAGGGAUUGAAGAGGAAAUUAGUUGUGAUGAUUAACACUGUUAGAACUUUAUGUUAAUAAGUUGGACUGAAACGUGUCGCGCUGCAAAAAAUACAGAGUCAUCACCGGAUUUUAUUUAUUCCAAAGGAAAGGGAAAAU
rnacentral:lncRNA from 1 species